rnacentral:rRNA from 1 species
GCGGGGCGGGUGCUAUACAUGCAGUCGAGCGAACAGAUAAGGAGCUUGCUCCUUUGACGUUAGCGGCGGACGGGUGAGUAACACGUGGGUAACCUACCUAUAAGACUGGGAUAACUUCGGGAAACCGGAGCUAAUACCGGAUAACAUUUGGAACCGCAUGGUUCUAAAGUGAAAGAUGGUUUUGCUAUCACUUAUAGAUGGACCCGCGCCGUAUUAGCUAGUUGGUAAGGUAACGGCUUACCAAGGCGACGAUACGUAGCCGACCUGAGAGGGUGAUCGGCCACACUGGAACUGAGACACGGUCCAGACUCCUACGGGAGGCAGCAGUAGGGAAUCUUCCGCAAUGGGCGAAAGCCUGACGGAGCAACGCCGCGUGAGUGAUGAAGGGUUUCGGCUCGUAAAACUCUGUUAUUAGGGAAGAACAAAUGUGUAAGUAACUGUGCACAUCUUGACGGUACCUAAUCAGAAAGCCACGGCUAACUACGUGCCAGCAGCCGCGGUAAUACGUAGGUGGCAAGCGUUAUCCGGAAUUAUUGGGCGUAAAGCGCGCGUAGGCGGUUUCUUAAGUCUGAUGUGAAAGCCCACGGCUCAACCGUGGAGGGUCAUUGGAAACUGGGAAACUUGAGUGCAGAAGAGGAAAGUGGAAUUCCAUGUGUAGCGGUGAAAUGCGCAGAGAUAUGGAGGAACACCAGUGGCGAAGGCGACUUUCUGGUCUGUAACUGACGCUGAUGUGCGAAAGCGUGGGGAUCAAACAGGAUUAGAUACCCUGGUAGUCCACGCCGUAAACGAUGAGUGCUAAGUGUUAGGGGGUUUCCGCCCCUUAGUGCUGCAGCUAACGCAUUAAGCACUCCGCCUGGGGAGUACGACCGCAAGGUUGAAACUCAAAGGAAUUGACGGGGACCCGCACAAGCGGUGGAGCAUGUGGUUUAAUUCGAAGCAACGCGAAGAACCUUACCAAAUCUUGACAUCCUUUGAAAACUCUAGAGAUAGAGCCUUCCCCUUCGGGGGACAAAGUGACAGGUGGUGCAUGGUUGUCGUCAGCUCGUGUCGUGAGAUGUUGGGUUAAGUCCCGCAACGAGCGCAACCCUUAAGCUUAGUUGCCAUCAUUAAGUUGGGCACUCUAGGUUGACUGCCGGUGACAAACCGGAGGAAGGUGGGGAUGACGUCAAAUCAUCAUGCCCCUUAUGAUUUGGGCUACACACGUGCUACAAUGGACAAUACAAAGGGCAGCUAAACCGCGAGGUCAUGCAAAUCCCAUAAAGUUGUUCUCAGUUCGGAUUGUAGUCUGCAACUCGACUACAUGAAGCUGGAAUCGCUAGUAAUCGUAGAUCAGCAUGCUACGGUGAAUACGUUCCCGGGUCUUGUACACACCGCCCGUCACACCACGAGAGUUUGUAACACCCGAAGCCGGUGGAGUAACCAUUUAUGGAGCUAGCCGUCGAAGUGAACAAAAGG